GACGAACGCUGGCGGCGUGCUUAACACAUGCAAGUCGAACGCGCCUGUCCUCUGGGUUUCUGGGGGGUGGGUGAGUGGCGAACGGGUGAGUAACACGUGAGUAACCUGCCCCCUUCUUCGGGAUAACGGUCUGAAAGGGCUGCUAAUACCGGGUAUUCACUGGUCUCCGCAUGGGGUCUGGUGGAAAGGUUUUUUUCUGGUGGGGGAUGGGCUCGCGGCCUAUCAGCUUGUUGGUGGGGUGAUGGCCCACCAAGGCUUUGACGGGUAGCCGGCCUGAGAGGGUGACCGGUCACAUUGGGACUGAGAUACGGCCCAGACUCCUACGGGAGGCAGCAGUGGGGAAUAUUGCACAAUGGGCGCAAGCCUGAUGCAGCGACGCCGCGUGAGGGAUGGAGGCCUUCGGGUUGUGAACCUCUUUCGCCCGUGGUCAAGCCGCGACGUGGGUCGCGGUGAGGGUAGUGGGUAAAGAAGCGCCGGCUAACUACGUG
rnacentral:rRNA from 1 species